rnacentral:rRNA from 1 species
CAGGCUUAACACAUGCAAGUCGAGGGGCAUCGGGUAGAAAGCUUGCUUUCUUUGCCGGCGACCGGCGCACGGGUGAGUAACACGUAUCCAACCUGCCCUUUACUCGGGGAUAGCCUUUCGAAAGAAAGAUUAAUACCCGAUAGUAUAAUGAUUCCGCAUGGUUUCAUUAUUAAAGGAUUCCGGUAAAGGAUGGGGAUGCGUUCCAUUAGGUUGUUGGUGAGGUAACGGCUCACCAAGCCUUCGAUGGAUAGGGGUUCUGAGAGGAAGGUCCCCCACAUUGGAACUGAGACACGGUCCAAACUCCUACGGGAGGCAGCAGUGAGGAAUAUUGGUCAAUGGGCGCUAGCCUGAACCAGCCAAGUAGCGUGAAGGAUGAAGGCUCUAUGGGUCGUAAACUUCUUUUAUAUAAGAAUAAAGUGCAGUAUGUAUACUGUUUUGUAUGUAUUAUAUGAAUAAGGAUCGGCUAACUCCGUGCCAGCAGCCGCGGUAAUACGGAGGAUCCGAGCGUUAUCCGGAUUUAUUGGGUUUAAAGGGAGCGUAGGUGGACUGGUAAGUCAGUUGUGAAAGUUUGCGGCUCAACCGUAAAAUUGCAGUUGAUACUGUCAGUCUUGAGUACAGUAGAGGUGGGCGGAAUUCGUGGUGUAGCGGUGAAAUGCUUAGAUAUCACGAAGAACUCCGAUUGCGAAGGCAGCUCACUGGACUGCAACUGACACUGAUGCUCGAAAGUGUGGGUAUCAAACAGGAUUAGAUACCCUGGUAGUCCACACAGUAAACGAUGAAUACUCGCUGUUUGCGAUAUACAGUAAGCGGCCAAGCGAAAGCAUUAAGUAUUCCACCUGGGGAGUACGCCGGCAACGGUGAAACUCAAAGGAAUUGACGGGGGCCCGCACAAGCGGAGGAACAUGUGGUUUAAUUCGAUGAUACGCGAGGAACCUUACCCGGGCUUAAAUUGCAGUGGAAUGAUGUGGAAACAUGUCAGUGAGCAAUCACCGCUGUGAAGGUGCUGCAUGGUUGUCGUCAGCUCGUGCUGUGAGGUGUCGGCUUAAGUGCCAUAACGAGCGCAACCCUUAUCUUCAGUUACUAACAGGUCAUGCUGAGGACUCUGGAGAGACUGCCGUCGUAAGAUGUGAGGAAGGUGGGGAUGACGUCAAAUCAGCACGGCCCUUACGUCCGGGGCUACACACGUGUUACAAUGGGGGGUACAGAAGGCAGCUAGCGGGUGACCGUAUGCUAAUCCCAAAAUCCUCUCUCAGUUCGGAUCGAAGUCUGCAACCCGACUUCGUGAAGCUGGAUUCGCUAGUAAUCGCGCAUCAGCCACGGCGCGGUGAAUACGUUCCCGGGCCUUGUACACACCGCCCGUCAAGCCAUGGGAGCCGGGGGUACCUGAAGUACGUAACCGCAAGGAUCGUCCUAGGGUAAAACUGGUGACUGGGGCUAAAA